UGUUUGGAGUUGAUGGUCAUUAAUGGUUGCUGUCUUUUGUGUAUCUUUUGCACAACUCCGAGUCUGUCCAGAUGUUAAACUCAUCAGACGCCACCUGGUGGAAAGUUCCCCGAAAAGAAACUUCAAUUCCCUUCCCUCGGGAAAAAGAGUGUAGAAGAUCUUCAAAUCCAGAAGUUCUCCACUCCCUGUAUAUUUUUCUCAGAGGGAAUGAUUGCUUUUUAAUCUGCCAUUCAUCUCAUCCACAUAGGAGCAAAGUGGAUUUUCAGGUUAGACACUUUUCUUUCGGAUCGAUAGGGGUCAUUGGAAAGCAAAAACCUUCCUAGUGACUUUGGCUGAGCUCUGCUGAGAGCAAGUAAAUUGGGCAAAUAAGAGAUUUGUUCUUUACAUUUUUGGGAUAUGCCGUGGGGCGGACCAUAAGAGAGGGAGAAGAGCAAUAAAAGAGUGAUGGUAUCCUUAUGGG